rnacentral:snRNA from 1 species
GUGCUCAGUUCAGCACCACAUAUAGUAAAACUAGACAAUACAGAGAUUAGCAUGGCCCCUGAGCAUGGAUGGCAUACCAAUCAGUAUAGACUCAUGGAUAUUU